rnacentral:rRNA from 1 species
UACGGGGGGGGGCAAGCGUUGUUCGGAAUUACUGGGCGUAAAGGGCUCGUAGGUGGCCAACUAAGUCAGACGUGAAAUCCCUCGGCUUAACCGGGGAACUGCGUCUGAUACUGAAUGGCUUGAGUUUGGGAGAGGGACGCGGAAUUCCAGGUGUAGCGGUGAAAUGCGUAGAUAUCGGGAGGAACACCAGUGGCGAAGGCGGCCAGCUGGCGCUGACCUGACGCUGAGGCGCGAAGGCGUGGGGAGCGAACGGG